rnacentral:rRNA from 1 species
AUUGAACGCUGGCGGCAUGCCUUACACAUGCAAGUCGAACGGCAGCAUAGGAUCUUGCUCCUGAUGGCGAGUGGCGAACGGGUGAGUAAUAUAUCGGAACGUGCCCUAGCGUGGGGGAUAACUAGUCGAAAGACUAGCUAAUACCGCAUACGAUCUACGGAUGAACGUGGGGGAUCGCAAGACCUCAUGCUCCUGGAGCGGCCGAUAUCUGAUUACCUAGUUGGUGGGGUAAAAGCUCACCAAGGCGACGAUCAGUAGCUGGUCUGAGGGGACAACCAGCCAACCUGGGACGUAGAAAGUGCCCAGACUCCUACGGGAGGCAUCAGUGGGGAAUUUUGGACAAUGGGGGCAACCCUGAUCCAGCAAUGCCGCGUGAGUGAAGAAGGCCUUCGGGUUGUAAAGCUCUUUUGUCAGCGAAGAAACGGUUCUGGAUAAUACCUGGGACUAAUGACGGUACCUGAAGAAUAAGCACCGGCUAACUACGUGCCAGCCGCCGCCGUAA